GGGGGUAAAUUUAAUAAAUAUAAAAAUUAAUAAAAAAAAAUUUAUUAUUAAAAAUAUAUAAUGGGGGUUAAAGUAUUUUUAAUAGAAAAAAUUUAUAAAUUUAUAGUUUAAUAGUAUUGUAAAAGAAAAUUUAAAUAAAUGAAAAAUAAAAUUUUAAUUAAAGUAAAUUUAAUUUAUUGUAUCUUGUGUAUCAGAGUUUAUUAAAUAAAAAUUUUUGAAUAAAAAAUUCUCGAAUUUAAAAGAGUUAAUUAAUUAAAAAAGUUAAUGUUGAAUAAUUAUUUUUAAUAAUUAAUUAGAAAUGAAAUGUUAAUCGUUUUUAAAUAUAUCUAGUUUUUUUAGAAAAAAAUUUAAUUUUAAAUUAAAAUAAUUUUAUAAUUAAUUAAUUAAUUAUAUAAAUUUUAUAUUCAAUAUUUUGGGGGAUAAGCUUUAAAUUAAAAAAUUAUAAUUUUUUUUUUUAAUUGAAAUUUUUAAUAUUUAUAUUGUUUAUAAAUUAUAAUUUAUUAUAAAAAAUUUUAAUUAAAUUAAAAUUUAAAUAUAAAUUUAAUUUUUUAUAAAAAAAUUAUUUUUAAUAAUAAAAAAUUAGAAAUAAUGAUAAAAUUAGUAUAAUAUAAUAAAAAAAAAUAAAAUUAUUAAAAGUUAAAUUAAAGGAAUUCGGCAAAAAUUUAUAUUCACUUGUUUAUCAAAAACAUGUCUUUUUGAUUAAUAAUUUAAAGUCUAAUCUGCCCACUGAUAUUAAUUAAAGGGCUGCAGUAUAUUGACUGUACAAAGGUAGCAUAAUCAUUAGUCUUUUAAUUGGAGACUUGUAUGAAAGAUUUAAUGAAAUAUAAACUGUCUCUAUUUUAUUAAUAAAAUUUAAUAUUUUAGUUAAAAAGCUAAAAUAAAAUUAAAAGACGAGAAGACCCUAUAGAGUUUUAUAUUUUAUUUUAUUGUAAUAAAAUAUAUAAUUAAUUAUUAUAAUAAAAUAAAAUAUUUCAUUGGGGUGAUGAAAAAAUUUAAUAAACUUUUUUUUUUAUUUGACAUGAAUAAGUGAUUAAAUGAUCCAUAAUUUUAUGAUUAUAAGAAAAAAUUACCUUAGGGAUAACAGCGUAAUAUUUUUUUUUAGUACAAAUAAAAAAAAAAGUUUGCGACCUCGAUGUUGGAUUAAGAUAAAAAUUAAAUGCAAAAGUUUAAAAUUUUUGAUCUGUUCGAUCAUUAAAAUCUUACAUGAUCUGAGUUCAAACCGGUGUAAGCCAGGUUGGUUUCUAUCUUUAAUGAAUUAUAAUAUUUUAGUACGAAAGGAUCAAAUAUUAAAAAUAAUUUUAGUUAAUUUGAAUAUUAUUAAUGCUUUAAUUUA
rnacentral:rRNA from 1 species